UACGAAGGGGGCUAGCGUUGUUCGGAUUUACUGGGCGUAAAGCGCACGUAGGCGGAUCGUUAAGUCGGGGGUGAAAUCCUGGAGCUCAACUCCAGAACUGCCUUCGAUACUGGCGAUCUUGAGUCCGGAAGAGGUGAGUGGAACUCCUAGUGUAGAGGUGGAAUUCGUAGAUAUCAGUCGGAACACCGGUGGCGAAGGCGGCUUCUUGGGCCCUACCUGACGCUGAGGCGCGAAAGCGUGGGGAGCAAACAGG
rnacentral:rRNA from 1 species